GCUCGCUUCGGCAGCACAUAUACUAAAAUUGGAACGAUACAGAGAAGAUUAGCAUGGCCCCUGCGCAAGGAUAAGGGGUUAAUUUCAAGGAUAUACAAAAUACUG